rnacentral:lncRNA from 1 species
AGGUUUUCAAUGCAGCAAAUUUUUUCUCAAGUGUUGAAUGCAUCUCUUCGCUACACUCUCUCCCACUCAACUUAGGAAAGCCCUUCAAACCCUAAGUCAAAAUAAAAAACCGCCGCUCACUGAAGAAGGUGCAAACGGAUCUCUUUUCCUGUUAUUUGAAGAAAAUGAAAACAGUCGUUGCCCUCUGAAGUCAAAGUUGCUGCUCUCCUCCGUAUCCGUCACUGGCUAUUGAAGAAACCCACUGCUCAUCGUUGCUUUGGUAAAAAAGGUAAAGACAAAAAUAGCUUGUUUGAUUUUGAAAAUUAAAUUCAUUACUCCUCAAUUUUCCUUGAUUAAUUGGGUUUUUCCAUUUAUUAAGCAUCUUUAAAAUCGAAAUUGAUCUCUCAUUGCCUUGGGUUUUGACCUAAUUAAAAUUGGGGUUUUUUAAAAUUGAAAUUGGAGGUUAAUUUGCCUCAUUUUGGAUGAUGAAUUUAUCACUUAAGAAUCAAUUGAUUGAGUUGAGA